rnacentral:rRNA from 1 species
GAUCAUGAGUCCGCAUGUUCACAUGAUUAAAGGUAUUCCGGUAGACGAUGGGGAUGCGUUCCAUUAGAUAGUAGGCGGGGUAACGGCCCACCUAGUCUUCGAUGGAUAGGGGUUCUGAGAGGAAGGUCCCCCACAUUGGAACUGAGACACGGUCCAAACUCCUACGGGAGGCAGCAGUGAGGAAUAUUGGUCAAUGGGCGAGAGCCUGAACCAGCCAAGUAGCGUGAAGGAUGACUGCCCUAUGGGUUGUAAACUUCUUUUAUAAAGGAAUAAAGUCGGGUAUGUAUACCCGUUUGCAUGUACUUUAUGAAUAAGGAUCGGCUAACUCCGUG